AGUAAUACAUCGGAACAUGUCCUGUAGUGGGGGAUAGCCCGGCGAAAGCCGGAUUAAUACCGCAUACGAUCUACGGAUGAAAGCGGGGGACCUUCGGGCCUCGCGCUAUAGGGUUGGCCGAUGGCUGAUUAGCUAGUUGGUGGGGUAAAGGCCUACCAAGGCGACGAUCAGUAGCUGGUCUGAGAGGACGACCAGCCACACUGGGACUGAGACACGGCCCAGACUCCUACGGGAGGCAGCAGUGGGGAAUUUUGGACAAUGGGCGAAAGCCUGAUCCAGCAAUGCCGCGUGUGUGAAGAAGGCCUUCGGGUUGUAAAGCACUUUUGUCCGGAAAGAAAUCCUUGGCUCUAAUACAGUCGGGGGAUGACGGUACCGGAAGAAUAAGCACCGGCUAACUACGUGCCAGCAGCCGCGGUAAUACGUAGGGUGCGAGCGUUAAUCGGAAUUACUGGGCGUAAAGCGUGCGCAGGCGGUUUGCUAAGACCGAUGUGAAAUCCCCGGGCUCAACCUGGGAACUGCAUUGGUGACUGGCAGGCUAGAGUAUGGCAGAGGGG
rnacentral:rRNA from 1 species